AGAUUGAACGCUGGCGGCAUGCCUUACACAUGCAAGUCGAACGGUAGCACGGGAGCAAUCCUGGUGGCGAGUGGCGAACGGGUGAGUAAUAUAUCGGAACGUGCCCAGUCGUGGGGGAUAACGUAGAGAAAUUUACGCUAAUACCGCAUACGAUCCAAGGAUGAAAGCGGGGGACCGUAAGGCCUCGCGCGACUGGAGCGGCUGAUAUCAGAUUAGCUUGUUGGUGAGGUAAAAGCUCACCAAGGCGACGAUCUGUAGCUGGUUUGAGAGAACGACCGGCCACACUGGGACUGAGACACGGCCCAGACUCCGUACGGGAGGCAGCGAGGUGGGGAAUAUUGACAACUAAGUGGGACGAAAGCCGUAGAUGCAGCGACCGGCCGCGUGGAGGGAGUA
rnacentral:rRNA from 1 species